AGUCUUGAAUAUUGGCGAGAAAAGAUGAAGAAGAGAGGAUCCAUUGUGUCGAUCUUCAAGCCCUGUUCUUCUAAAAUGAUUGAAGCUGAGAUCUCCACCUAGUGGAUAUAUAGGAUUUUGCAGAUCUUUAUGGGAACAGCCAACUAUCCCUGGAAAUCCUUAAUUUUUUUCUCUUAGAGAAAUAACAAGUUUUAAAGACUUCUACUUAAAUCUGGGAUGAUUGUCAACAGGACAAUUGCAAAUGUAUGAAACAUACCAAUAUGCAUAUCAGUUACACUACAGUUAACAAAGCUGAAUUUUUAUUUUCAUACUAUAAUUAGGAAAACAGAUCAAACACAAAUAUGAAUAUAUAAUUAUCCAUGUAGAAAGCAAUAUUGUAAUACCACUAAUUGAGAUAUGUAUAAUAAUUUACAUGAAAUAAACAUCAAAUGUAAAUCUGCUCAAA
ensembl:lncRNA novel transcript